rnacentral:rRNA from 1 species
ACUCCCGUGGUGGUGACGGAUAACGGAGGAUCAGGGUUCGACUCCGGAGAAGGGGCCUGAGAAAUGGCCACUACGUCUAAGGAUGGCAGCAGGCGCGCAAAUUACCCACUCUCGGCUCGAGGAGGUAGUGACGAGAAAUAACGAGACUGUUCUCUUUGAGGCCGGUCAUCGGAAUGGGUACAAUUUAAACCCUUUAACGAGUAUCAAGCAGAGGGCAAGUCUGGUGCCAGCAGCCGCGGUAAUUCCAGCUCUGCUAAUACAUAGAAUUAUUGCUGCGGUUAAAAAGCUCGUAGUUGGAUUCGUAUCGGUACCUUGGAACCCUUCGGGUGUUUCUGGGUGUUAUCGAUUUAUCGUAAUGUUCGGUUUUGAGUCCUUAACAGGAUUUUUAACAGUCAUUGCAAGUUUACUUUGAACAAAUCAGAGUGCUUCAAACAGGCGUUUUCGCUUGAAUGAUCGUGCAUGGAAUAAUAGAAAACGAUUUCGGUUCAGUUUUAUUGGUUUUACGGACUGAGAUAAUGGUUAACAGAGACAAACGGGGGCAUUUGUAUGGCCCCGUGAGAGGUGAAAUUCUUGGACCGUGGCCGGACAAACUACAGCGAAAGCAUUUGCCAAGAAUGUCUUCAUUAAUCAAGAACGAAAGUCAGAGGUUCGAAGGCGAUCAGAUACCGCCCUAGUUCUGACCGUAAACGAUGCCAACUAGCGAUCCGCCGAUGGAAAUUAUAUUGCCUUGGUGGGGAGCUUCCCGGAAACGAAAGUCUUCCGGUUCCGGGGGAAGUAUGGUUGCAAAGCUGAAACUUAAAGGAAUUGACGGAAGGGCACCACCAGGAGUGGAGCCUGCGGCUUAAUUUGACUCAACACGGGGAAACUCACCCGGCCCGGACACUGUGAGGAUUGACAGAUUGAUAGCUUUUUCAUGAUUCAGUGGAUGGUGGUGCAUGGCCGUUCUUAGUUCGUGGAGUGAUUUGUCUGGUUUAUUCCGAUAACGAGCGAGACUCUAACCUACUAAAUAGCUGGUACAUACUCUUAGUGUAUACAGCUUCUUAGAGGGAUUUGCGGUGUUCAGCCGAAAGAAAUUGAGCAAUAACAGGUCUGUGAUGCCCUUAGAUGUCCGGGGCUGCACGCGCGCUACACUGGCAAAAUCAACGUGCUUGUCCUACCCCGAAAGGGGCGGGUAAACCAUUGAAAAUUUGCCGUGAUUGGGAUCGGAAAUUGCAAUUAUUUUCCGUGAACGAGG